CUACAAUGGAAAUCUGAAGCACCUGUCUGGAUUGAGCAGCGGCCACUCUCUAAAGAAAAACUGGAGGCUUUAACUCAAUUGGUUUCUGAACAGUUACAACUUGGAAAUGUGGAAUCUUCUCUUUCCCCCUGGAAUUCUCCUGUGUUUCUAGUAACAAAGAAAUCAGGCAAGUGGAGGAUGGUAACUGAUUUAAGGGCCAUUAAUGCUGUAAUUAAACCUAUGGGUGCCAUCCAACCUGGCGUGCCUGCCCCUGCUUUAAUACCUAAGAAUUGGCCUCUCAUAGUUAUUGAUCUUAAAGACUCCCUACCAUCUGCCAGCUUUAUGUUGGACAGGUGCUUUCUCCAGUUCGAGCUCAAUUUCCCCAGGCCUAUAUGCUUCAUUAUAUUGAUGAUAUAUUAAUUGCUGCCCCCACUGAUAAAUAAUUAAUUGACUGUUAUCAAUUUUUGAGUCACCGUGUUACAGAGGCUGGUUUACACAUCACUCAGGAUAAAAUUCAACAGACCACUCCUGUUCAAUAUUUAGGAAUGGUGGUCAAUAAAGAAUGUAUUCAACCUCAAAAGGUUCAGAUUAGGAGAGAUUCUUUAAAAACCUUAAAUGAUUUCCAAAAACUUUUGGGUAACAUUAAUUAUUUAAGAUCUACUUUAGGCAUUCCAACAUAUGCG
rnacentral:lncRNA from 1 species